AGCCACCAGAGAGAUUCGAACUCGCGACCCCGGUUUACGAGACCAGUGCUCUAACCUCUGAGCUAUAUGGUGGC